CGUGGCGAGGUGGCCGUGUUCGUCGGUCCGUCUGGCUGCGGUAAGACCACGAUGCUCCGGAUUAUCGCCGGCCUCGACCGCGAUUAUCGCGGCCGCGUUGUGCGCCCGCCCGGCGCUCGCGUCGGAAUGGUGUUCGAGGAGCCGCGACUUCUUCCCUGGCGUUCGGUCGAAGACAAUGUACGGCUUGCUGCGCCGAAUGCCGACGGGGCAAGGCUGGCGGCUCUGUUCGCCAUUCUGGAAUUGACCCAACACCGUACGCACUAUCCCGGC
rnacentral:misc_RNA from 1 species